UACCAAAAACAUCGCCUCUUGCCAAUAAAAUAUAAGAGGUCCUGCCUGCCCUGUGACACAACGUUUAACGGCCGCGGUAUCUUGACCGUGUGAAGGUAGCGUAAUCAUUUGUCUUUUAAAUGAAGACCUGUAUGAAUGGCGUAACGAGAGCUUAACUGUCUCACUCUCUUAGUCAAUGAAAUUGAUCUCCCCGUGCAGAAGCGAGGAUAAAAACAUAAGACGAAAAGACCCUAUGGAGCUUUAGAAUCUGAAUCAGACCAGACAACCCUAAGUUUAUUUAUCCCUGGCCCCUGCUUCAAAUUUCUUCGGUUGGGGCGACCAUGGAGAAAAAUAAAACCUCCACGAAAAGACCACACACUUCUUUAAAAUAUAGAGCCACAACUCUAAUUUUCAGAAGAUCUGCCUAUAAAUGACCCAGCAUGACAGCUGAUCAACGAAACAAGUUACCCUAGGGAUAACAGCGCAAUCCCCUUUUAGAGCCCACAUCGACAAGGGGGUUUACGACCUCGAUGUUGGAUCAGGACAUCCUAAUGGCGCAACCGCUAUUAAGGGUUCGUUUGUUCAACGAUUAAAGUCCUACGUGAUCUG
rnacentral:rRNA from 1 species